GUCGUGAGAUGUUGGGUUAAGUCCCGCAACGAGCGCAACCCUUGUCCUAUGUUGCCAGCGGUUCAAGCCGGGGACUCAUGCGAGACUGCCGGUGACAAACCGGAGGAAGGUGGGGAUGACGUCAAGUCAUCAUGCCCCUUAUGUCCAGGGCUACACACGUGCUACAUUGGCGCGUACAGAGGGCUGCGAUACCGCGAGGUGGAGCGAAUCCCUUAAAGCGCGUCUCGGUUCGGAUUGCAGGCUGAAACUCGCCUGCAUGAAGGCGGAGUUGCUAGUAAUCGCGGAUCAGCAUUGCCGCGGUGAAUACGUUCCCGGGCCUUGUACACACCGCCCGUCACACCACGGGAGUGAGCAACACCCGAAGCCGGUGGCCUAACCGCAAGGAGGGAGCCGUCGAAGGUGGGGCUCGUGACUGGGGUGAAGUCGUAACAAGGUAGCCGUAGCGGGAGCUGCGGCUGGAUCACCUCCUUUCUAGGGAGUCUCUAUAUAGAGAGACACCCGAUCGCACGGUGACAGACAAGGUUCUGUUACUCGCUGAGCCUGCGAGCUCUUGAGCUCGCCGGCAUCAUCAAAUACCAGCAGCGAUCGGCGACUAGCAUGUCGACCGGACUUGGAAACGCCGUCCUUGAAGAGCCCAGCGCUCUGUCCCAAGGCGGCUGCAUGCUGUUGAGUUUUGAGAGACCGGCUCAUCGCCGGUUGGCUCGAGGGCAUUCGUGUCCCGGACCAACGGUGAGGAGUCGUGCCUCUUCGCGGACCUUGAAAACUGCACAGUAGCCAAAAAAACGGGUGUGACUGACACUCUUUCCGUGUGUCAGUCACAGAAGAAAGUAAUUUCUUCUUUGUGUCACUCUUGUAGUGGCACUUUGAUCACCGUCAAGAUAGUAAGGGCACAUGGUGGAUGCCUUGGCACCAAGAGUCGAUGAAGGGCGUGAACGGCUGCGAUAAGCCGCGGUGAGGCGCUGAAUAGCCAGUGACCCGCGGAUGC
rnacentral:sRNA from 1 species